rnacentral:lncRNA from 1 species
GACCUUGUGUGGCGUCUUUCUGAACUCCCUCGACCGUCCGAGCUUCCAUAAUACCAUCCGAACUUCUCUGAUAAUGAGCUCCUCCAUUCAUAUACUGGACUGCUUCAAAUAAUUUUUGAGCCUCACUAUCAGCCGAUUUUCUACAGUAACCAGACUCUAUCCAAGUUUCUAUGGCGGUCGAUCGCUUUUCGGAUUUCAUCCGAGCUCCUACGAGAGCCGGAUCCCAGCUGAACUUCUACAACGGAUGGAUUCCAGAUGAAUUCCUACAAAAGCU